rnacentral:rRNA from 1 species
UACGUAGGGUGCAAGCGUUAAUCGGAAUUACUGGGCGUAAAGCGUGCGCAGGCGGUUAUGUAAGACAGAUGUGAAAUGCCCGGGCUUAACCUGGGAACUGCAUUUGUGACUGCAUGGCUAGAGUUUGGCAGAGGGGGGGUAGAAUUCCACGUGUAGCAGUGAAAUGCGUAGAUAUGUGGAGGAACACCGAUGGCGAAGGGCAGCCCCCUGGGGUCAAGACUGACGCUCAUGCA